rnacentral:rRNA from 1 species
CGGGACGGGUGAGUAAUGUCUGGGAAACGUGCCUGAUGGAGGGGGAUAACUACUGGAAACGGUAGCUAAUAACGCAUAACGUCGCAAGACCAAAGAGGGGGACCGUUCGGGCCUCUUGCCAUCGGAUGUGCCCAGAUGGGAUUAGCUAGUAGGUGGGGUAACGGCUCACCUAGGCGACGAUCCCUAGCUGGUCUGAGAGGAUGACCAGCCACACUGGAACUGAGACACGGUCCAG